GACGAACGCUGGCGGCGUGCUUAACACAUGCAAGUCGAACGGAAAGGCCCUGCUUUUGUGGGGUGCUCGAGUGGCGAACGGGUGAGUAACACGUGAGUAACCUGCCCUUGACUUUGGGAUAACUUCAGGAAACUGGGGCUAAUACCGGAUAGGAGCUCCUGCUGCAUGGUGGGGGUUGGAAAGUUUCGGCGGUUGGGGAUGGACUCGCGGCUUAUCAGCUUGUUGGUGGGGUAGUGGCUUACCAAGGCUUUGACGGGUAGCCGGCCUGAGAGGGUGAACGGCCACAUUGGGACUGAGAUACGGCGCAGACGCCUACGGGAGGCAGCAGUGGGGAAUAUUGCACAAUGGGCGGAAGCCUGAGGCAGCAACGCCGCGUGCGGGAUGACGGCCUUCGGGUUGUAAACCGCUUUCGCCUGUGACGAAGCGUGAGUGACGGUAAUGGGUAAAGAAGCACCGGCUAACUACGUG
rnacentral:rRNA from 1 species